AAACGUGUCCGUAAUAACGUGUGAUCUGCAGGGUUCCAGUUUAAACUGUUAAGAGCUCACAGCGAUGACGUCAACGGAGCUCGACUCUGCUUCGACGACAGGUUCCUCUUGAGCUGCUCCUCCGACCACAGCACAAUCCUCUGGGUACUGAUACACAAUGUACUCCUCUCUACUAGUACUACUGUAUCUUUGGUUAGUAAAGGUACUCCUCCGACCACAGCACAAUCCUCUGGGUACUGAUACACAAAGUACUCCUCUCUACUAGUACUACUGUACCUUUGGUUAGUAAAGGUACUCCUCCGACCACAGCACAAUCCUCUGGGUACUGAUACACAAAGUACCCCCCUCUACUAGUACUACUGUACCUUUGGUUAGUAAAGGUACUCCUCCGACCACAGCACAAUCCUCUGGGUACUGAUACACAAAGUACUCCUCUCUACUAGUACUACUGUACCUUUGGUUGGUAAAGGUACUCCUCUGACCACAGCGUCACCCUCUGGGUACUGAUACACAAAGUACUCCUCUCUACUAGUACUACUGUACCUUUGGUUAGUAAAGGUACUCCUCCGACCACAGCACAAUCCUCUGGGUACUUAUACACAAAGUACUCCUCUCUACUAGUACUACUGUACCUUUGGUUAGUAAAGGUACUCCUCCGACCACUGCGCCAACCUCUGGGUACUGAUACACAAAGUACUCCUCUCUGCUAGUACUAUUUUAUAAUUCUAAGUUGGACUUUCUUGAUUGGACAAUGGAUUGUAUUUUAGAAGAGUGGUGCAUGCUGGGAGUUGUAGUCUUACUUGGUUCCACUAAACUGUAUGUAGUUACAUUUGUGAUGGCUGUUGCUAAUAAGGUGAUCUCUGCUGCAUAUAAAUAUUCCAUGUUGACCUUUGCCCUGUGCAGGAUCUGGAGAGGUGCAGACCUCUGAAGGUGUUUCAUGAACUUCACAGUGAAACCAUCACCGAGUGCUCUCAGAUCCCAAACACCAACAGAUUGAUGAGGAUCAGCGGUGAUAAGAGGGGGUGGAUCGAGUUGCGAGGCUUCCUUUGUACUGAACGAAAUGUGGCACAGUCUUUGAUCCGCUUUAAAACUCAUGUAGAACACAUUAUAUUUUCAUAGUUCAUUUUUUUUAAUAAAGGAUGUAAAGAGAA